GGCAGCAUUCAUGUUGGAAAUUACACCAGAUGAGUUCCAGCGUACUGCAGCUCAAGGUCAUCUAAAUGCUGCGUUCUGCUCCAAACAAUUUAGACCAGUCUCUUCUGGAUGAGCGUCUAGAAGAUAAUGAGGAAGAAGGAGACUUCCUCUCACGAUCCCGAGAUGACUUUGUCCUCCUGAUAGAAGAACGAGAGGAUUCUACCUCUGAUGAGGUUUCAGACCCAGAUGGGAGAACCACUGCCUGAUUAGAAUGCUGUUUUGGACCUGGCUGCUCGAUGCUCCACAAACUAGUCAAUCAUCAAGCAACCUUGAAAUGCCAGAAACCUGUAGCCAGAAAGAACAUGGCAUGGAUACUGCAAUACCUUUGGAACAGAAAGCUGUAUUAGCAGCAUCUACUGCUGCCUGAAGAGACAUGCAAGCUGUAAGAUACCCCUG